ACGAACGCUGGCUGCGUGCUUAACACAUGCACGUCGCACGGAAAGGCCCUGCUUUUGUGGGGUGCUCGAGUGGCGAACGGGUGAGUAACACGUGAGUAACCUGCCCUUGACUUUGGGAUAACUUCAGGAAACUGGGGCUAAUACCGGAUAGGAGCUCCUGCUGCAUGGUGGGGGUUGGAAAGUUUCGGCGGUUGGGGAUGGACUCGCGGCUUAUCAGCUUGUUGGUGGGGUAGUGGCUUACCAAGGCUUUGACGGGUAGCCGGCCUGAGAGGGUGACCGGCCACAUUGGGACUGAGAUACGGCCCAGACUCCUACGGGAGGCAGCAGUGGGGAAUAUUGCACAAUGGGCGGAAGCCUGAUGCAGCAACGCCGCGUGCGGGAUGACGGCCUUCGGGUUGUAAACCGCUUUCGCCUGUGACGAAGCGUGAGUGACGGUAAUGGGUAAAGAAGCACCGGCUAACUACGUG
rnacentral:rRNA from 1 species